GCAGACGCUGGUGCCCGAGCUCGAUACCCGGAGGAGCACUGGCCCGACCUGACCCAAGCCCGUCACCCAGAGGAGCUGCCUGAGCUUCCCCACGUCCGACCUCCGGAGGAGUGGCCUGAACUUCCCGACGCCCGGUAUCCUGAGGAACCCAUGGCCUGGGACCCACCGGACGAUGCCGACGGAAGACAGGCAUGCUCGGCCAGCACCACAAGAAAUUCACCCAGGAGACCAAAGCCAACAUCAGCUUGAAAGAUUCUGCCCAGGCCCUUGCCGCCGAGCUGAAACAGGAACUGGCAUUUUUCCUGUCCACUUUUCAAGCAUCUGCGCCAAUAUCUGUAAAAGUCUGCAGACGUUUCAGGGAGUCCAUCCCAUCCCUGGAUGAAAAGAUGAUCAAUAACAGUUAUAUAAAACAGCUGAGCCGCUCCACUGGUGUGGACGAAAACACCCUCAAGGCCACAUUUCCAGCUGCAAAAAAUGCAAUGCACAGAGGUGCUAUUGUGAGUGUAUUCCCAAGAUAAAUGGAAACUUGGUAUACUGAAUUCACUCCCCUUGAUCCACACAAGUUACAAGCACUACAUUCUCACUUCUCCUUGGGAUUCAUAGAGCACAGCAGCAGUCCCAUCCACUGUGGUGGUUAUUUUAGCUGAUAUCUCACUCCUGAGGGUAAUGGAGGCUGAAAGGGAACAGGUCCUGUACGCAUCUGGCUGCAGACCAGGUCCGCAUGCUGCGAGUCUGUAUGCCGCAAUGGUGGCUGGUGAAGUAACUACUGAGUGGUGUGGGAAAGUGUCCUACCAUGGUGGAAGAAAUAGGGCAGCCCUCCUCAGAAACCUCGGGCAGAGGAUUGCAAACUACCUCAAGGAAGGUUUCUUCGAGAUCUCCAUGAAGGAUUCACGGGACAUCCCAGUGCACAUAAACUGUUCUGCAGGGCCCCCUCUGCCUAACUGUAGAGGGGAAUGAGAAGCAGACAACAACUCUGCCUCUAUUGGUUAUUUCACUACCUCUUCCAACAUGAUUAA